rnacentral:rRNA from 1 species
CGCCAGGGACGAAGCGUAAGUGACGGUACCUGGAGAAGAAGCACCGGCCAACUACGUGCCAGCAGCCGCGGUAAUACGUAGGGUGCAAGCGUUGUCCGGAAUUAUUGGGCGUAAAGAGCUCGUAGGCGGUGUGUCACGUCUGCCGUGAAAACCUGCGGCUUAACCGUGGGCGUGCGGUGGAUACGGGCAUCACUUGAGUUCGGUAGGGGAGACUGGAAUUCCUGGUGUAGCGGUGGAAUGCGCAGAUAUCAGGAGGAACACCGGUGGCGAAGGCGGGUCUCUGGGCCGAUACUGACGCUGAGGAGCGAAAGCGUGGGGAGCGAACAGGAUUAGAUACCCUGGUAGUCCACGCCGUAAACGUUGGGCGCUAGGUGUGGGGCGCUGUUCACGUGUCCCGUGCCGUAGCUAACGCAUUAAGCGCCCCGCCUGGGGAGUACGGCCGCAAGGCUAAAACUCAAAGGAAUUGACGGGGGCCCGCACAAGCGGCGGAGCAUGUGGAUUAAUUCGAUGCAACACGAAUAACCUUACCUGGGCUUGACAUGCACCGGAUCGCCUCAGAGAUGGGGUUUCCCUUGUGGUCCGUGCACAUGUG